GAUGAACGCUGGCGGCGUGCCUAAUACAUGCAAGUCGAGCGAACAGGCGAGGAGCUUGCUCCUCUGACGUUAGCGGCGGACGGGUGAGUAACACGUGGAUAACCUACCUAUAAGACUGGGAUAACUUCGGGAAACCGGAGCUAAUACCGGAUAAUAUAUUGAACCGCAUGGUUCAAUAGUGAAAGACGGUUUUGCUGUCACUUAUAGAUGGAUCCGCGCCGCAUUAGCUAGUUGGUAAGGUAACGGCUUACCAAGGCAACGAUGCGUAGCCGACCUGAGGGGGUGAUCGGCCACACUGGAACUGAGACACGGUCCAGACUCCUACGGGAGGCAGCAGUAGGGAAUCUUCCGCAAUGGGCGAAAGCCUGACGGAGCAACGCCGCGUGAGUGAUGAAGGUCUUCGGAUCGUAAAACUCUGUUAUUAGGGAAGAACAAAUGUGUAAGUAACUAUGCACGUCUUGACGGUACCUAAUCAGAAAGCCACGGCUAACUACGUG
rnacentral:rRNA from 1 species